AAAUUGAAGAGUUUGAUCAUGGCUCAGAUUGAACGCUGGCGGCAGGCCUAACACAUGCAAGUCGAACGGUAGCACAGAGAGCUUGCUCUCGGGUGACGAGUGGCGGACGGGUGAGUAAUGUCUGGGAAACUGCCCGAUGGAGGGGGAUAACUACUGGAAACGGUAGCUAAUACCGCAUAACGUCGCAAGACCAAAGUGGGGGACCUUCGGGCCUCACACCAUCGGAUGUGCCCAGAUGGGAUUAGCUAGUAGGUGGGGUAACGGCUCACCUAGGCGACGAUCCCUAGCUGGUCUGAGAGGAUGACCAGCCACACUGGAACUGAGACACGGUCCAGACUCCUACGGGAGGCAGCAGUGGGGAAUAUUGCACAAUGGGCGCAAGCCUGAUGCAGCCAUGCCGCGUGUAUGAAGAAGGCCUUCGGGUUGUAAAGUACUUUCAGCGAGGAGGAAGGCGUUGUGGUUAAUAACCACAGCGAUUGACGUUACUCGCAGAAGAAGCACCGGCUAACUCCGUGCCAGCAGCCGCGGUAAUACGGAGGGUGCAAGCGUUAAUCGGAAUUACUGGGCGUAAAGCGCACGCAGGCGGUUUGUUAAGUCAGAUGUGAAAUCCCCGGGCUCAACCUGGGAACUGCAUUUGAAACUGGCAAGCUUGAGUCUCGUAGAGGGGGGUAGAAUUCCAGGUGUAGCGGUGAAAUGCGUAGAGAUCUGGAGGAAUACCGGUGGCGAAGGCGGCCCCCUGGACAAAGACUGACGCUCAGGUGCGAAAGCGUGGGGAGCAAACAGGAUUAGAUACCCUGGUAGUCCACGCCGUAAACGAUGUCUACUUGGAGGUUGUGCCCUUGAGGCGUGGCUUCCGGAGCUAACGCGUUAAGUAGACCGCCUGGGGAGUACGGCCGCAAGGUUAAAACUCAAAUGAAUUGACGGGGGCCCGCACAAGCGGUGGAGCAUGUGGUUUAAUUCGAUGCAACGCGAAGAACCUUACCUGGUCUUGACAUCCACGGAAGUUUUCAGAGAUGAGAAUGUGCCUUCGGGAACCGUGAGACAGGUGCUGCAUGGCUGUCGUCAGCUCGU
rnacentral:rRNA from 2 species